AUGAAGAAAUCCUUGAGAGUUUUACUAGUGAUCCUGUGGCUUCAGUUAGGCUGCGUGAGGAGCCAACAAAAGGAGGUGGAGCAGAAUCCUGAAUCCCUCUCAGUGUUCCAGAGGGAGCCACUGCCCCUCUCAGCACUACUUACAGUGACCGUGCUUCUCAGUCCUUCCUGUGGUACAGGCAGUAUUGUGGGAAAGGCCCUGAGGUGCUGAUGUCCGCAUACUCCAAUGGUGACAAAGAAGAAGGAAGAUUUACAGUGCAGCUCAAUAAAGCCAGCCAAUAUGUCUCCCUGCUCAUCAGAGACUUCCAGCCCAGUGACUCAGCCACCUAUCUCUGUGCAGAAACCUGCCAUCUGUACCCAAAACUGCUGGGGCCCCAGGAGUGCCUGGUGUAG